rnacentral:rRNA from 1 species
GGUUGACCUCGGAUCAGUAGGAGUUACCCGCUGACUA